rnacentral:rRNA from 1 species
CUUGGAGAUAGCUCGUACUCCCCGAAAUGCAUUUAGGUGCAGCCUUGAGAGUUACUAAUGUGAGGUAGAGCGACUGAUAAGAUGCGAGGGCUUCACCGCCUAUCAAGUCUUGAUAAACUCCGAAUGCGCAUUAGUUCUAUCUCAGGAGUGAGGGCAUGGGUGCUAAGGUCCAUGUCCUAAAGGAGAAGAAUCCAGACCAUCAGCUAAGGUCCCCAAAUAAACACUAAGUUGAACUAACGAAGUCAGAUUGCUAAGACAGCUAGGAUGUUGGCUUGGAAGCAGCCAUUCAUUUAAAGAGUGCGUAACAGCUCACUAGUCGAGGAGUUUGGCGUGGAUAAUAAUCGGGCAUAAGUGUUUUACCGAAGCUAUGGGAUACGUAAGUAUCGGUAGGGGAGCAUUCCACUCAGCGUUGAAGGCGAAGCGUGAGCUUUACUGGAGCGUGUGGAAAAGCAAAUGUAGGUAUAAGUAACGAUAAAGGGGGUGAGAAACCCCCUCGCCGCAAGACUAAGGUUUCCUGAUCAACGCUAAUCGGAUCAGGGUUAGUCGGGUCCUAAGGCUCAGCCGAACGGUGAGGCCGAUGGCAGAACAGGUUAAUAUUCCUGUACUACCUGUAGGAGUGAUGUGGAGACGGAGGAGUGACAACGCCGCGGACUGACGGAAUAGUCCGUUAAAGGGUGUAGAUGUUGAUUAUCCCAGGCAAAUCCGGGAUAAGAGUCGAACCUGACAGUAUACCAAUUUCCUCGGAAAACGGUAAUAGUGCGUGUAAACAUACUCCCAAGAAAAUCCGCUAAACUUAAUCUUACAGGUACCCGUACCGUAAACGGACACACGUAGUCGGGUUGAAUAUACUCAGGCGCUUGAGUGAAUCACGGUUAAGGAACUAGGCAAAUUGACCCUGUAACUUCGGGAUAAAGGGUCCCUACCCGGUGACGGGAGGGCGCAGAGAAUAGGUCCAGGCAACUGUUUAACAAAAACACAGGGCUGUGCAAAAUUGAAAGAUCACGUAUACAGCCUGACACC